GAUGCUUAUGAGACUUGAACUAAAGAUGGACCUUACCAGUGCACUACUGCUGGAGUCGCUCUGUGACUGCACAUUUUGCUGAUCUGAGUUACUGCUGAGCGACGACUAAAGUGGAAAGAAGGAGAACUGUUGACUUACAUCUGUGCUGAUGGUGGAGUCUCGCUCGACAGGCCUCCUCUCGACGCUGGCGCCUGACGAACAUCUAGCGAGGGCCUCGGCGUGUUUCUCUCGCUCCCUUUGGAGCACGAUGUCCUCACAACCUUGCCACUCCUUCAUGUUCUGCUCGUACAAGGCGCGCAUCUGCUGAGCUGUCGUGGAGGAACUUGGCCCAGACGUCCGCAGAGAGGCCUCCUUGGGCAUCCGAAGGCACAUCGGGGACGACGAUAGUGGUGUUGACCAGAGCCGAGAGUUCCAGGUCCUAAGUGGCGGUCAAAGUGUCCCAUCUUGUCGGACUAUAUCACCAGCCACCUUCUGUCCAGGAAAGAGGAUCCGGAACACAUAAUCGGUGGCUUCCUCAUCCUCUUUAUCAGACACCGAGUCACAUGACCCAUGUGGGCUCCUCCUACGCAGUUUGGGGAAAACCUUUCCCUGUGCAGGAAAGACAAAAACACACUCUUGAUACACAAGGUCAAAUCGGAAAUGUCCUGCAUUUAUGCUGACCUUCCC